GGUUGUGGCGGUCAUGGUGGUCCACCUCCAGCAGGGAAGGGCCCCGGGGCCGUGCCGGUUCGAGUCCGGCCCCGGG
rnacentral:tRNA from 1 species